GAGAUGUUUUAAAUUCCAACAGUAGUUCAAGGAUUAGAAAGUCGAGAAUUUGAACAAUCGACUUUCGGUAUUUCGAUACUGUGAAAAAAUGGCGCUUGUGUCAAGGAGGGAGAAAUUCUUCUUGAUUAAUGGACUUGUUUGUUUAGUUCAAGGUUUAGAAGGAAGGUGUACAACUGUCGACUUGAGGAAUGAAUCUUGUGUAACUGGAAAAAUUGAACAAGUUGAUGGGUUUAUGAACAUUGUGAUGUCAGAAGCAGUUUUCAUUGACACAAGGGGAGCAGAGUAUCCAUUUGAUUCAUUCUUCAUUCAUGCCAGAAACAUCCGUUAUGUACACAUUCCUGAUGAGCUCUCAAUUGUGCCAACUAUUAAGAAUCAACUGAAGAAAAUGUGCCCUAGAUCUGCCAGAGUUGAGCUAGAUCCAAAGAAAUCUUGGAAGGCAAGGAAACUUAUACAAAGGCAGAAGGAAACUGUGAAGGAAGUUCAACAGCUGAAAAAGGAGAAGGAAAUGCAACAAAUCAAAGGCUGCCAAGAUGCCAAAAAUAAACCAUGAAAAAACAAUUACUUUAUAAAUGCAGUUGUGCUAGUGACUGGUGCUAAGAUGGCUGACAGUGAGGAUGGAGUUUUGGGGCUCCAGGAAAAAACAGGGGCUCCAUGCUGAGAGUUCGCUGAAGUACAGACAGUUGAAGUGCAGUUACCAGACUCAGACAGCAGUACCAGUAACAAGGUUGACAAGUCCCCACUGCACAAACAGAAUGUAUAUCCACUCCUUGAUUAAUUAAAAUAGUUUGUUCAGUGAAAACUGUCUGUGAGAUGAACGUACAUAAACCAGAGAUGAAAUUCCCAUUAAUUUGAAUUUAAAAAAUUCUGUCUUAUUCCCAACUCCCAGAAAAUUCACCCAAUACUUUUCCCACGUAUGAUAUAACAUUAUACAGUCAUAAAAAUAAGAACAGUAUUGCUUAUUUAUGAUAGGUAUUAACUAUUUAAUCUUCUGAAUUGAUAAAUCAAACAUUGCAUUGUACAGCAGUUGCUGUAGUUACAGUAUAAACGUAAGAAUUUUUAUAAAUGGAGAAUAAAUGAUUGUAUUAACUCUAUAAUUGCUGUAUGUAUAAUAAUCGUAAAGAAUGAAUAAAAAACUGGUUCUUUGUUGUAGCAAAGAUAGUGUUGUAAA